rnacentral:rRNA from 1 species
GUGAACCAGUACCGUGAGGGAAAGGCGAAAAGAACCCCGGCGAGGGGAGUGAAAAAGAACCUGAAACCGUGUACGUACAAGCAGUGGGAGCACAGGUUUACCUGUGUGACUGCGUACCUUUUGUAUAAUGGGUCAGCGACUUAUAUUCUGUAGCAAGGUUAACCGAAUAGGGGAGCCGGAGGGAAACCGAGUCUUAAUUGGGCGUUAAGUUGCAGGGUAUAGACCCGAAACCCGGUGAUCUAGCCAUGGGCAGGUUGAAGGUUGGGUAACACUAACUGGAGGACCGAACCGACUAAUGUUGAAAAAUUAGCGGAUGACCUGUGGCUGGGGGUGAAAGGCCAAUCAAACCGGGAGAUAGCUGGUUCUCCCCGAAAGCUAUUUAGGUAGCGCCUCGUGAAUUCAUCUCCGGGGGUAGAGCACUGUUUCGGCUAGGGGGCCAUCCCGGCUUACCAACCCGAUGCAAACUGCGAAUACCGGAGAAUGUUAUCACGGGAGACACACGGCGGGUGCUAACGUCCGUCGUGAAGAGGGAAACAACCCAGACCGCCAGCUAAGGUCCCAAAGUCAUGGUUAAGUGGGAAACGAUGUGGGAAGGCCCAGACAGCCAGGAUGUUGGCUUAGAAGCAGCCAUCAUUUAAAGAAAGCGUAAUAGCUCACUGGUCGAGUCGGCCUGCGCGGAAGAUGUAACGGGGCUAAACCAUGCACCGAAGCUGCGGCAGCGAACGUAUCACUUAAAGCGAUUCAGCGGGUUACGAUUGACGGA